CUGAGGCUAGAGAGCUGCGUGCGGGGCCGUGGGGAGGCCGCCUGGAACAACGUGCAGGUGUUCACUUUCACCUGGAGGGAGGACAUCCGGCCCGGAGACCCCCAGCAUACCAAGAAGUUCUGCUUUGAUGCCAUCUCACACACCAGCCCGGUCACCCUCUAUGACUGCCACGGCAUGAAGGGCAACCAGCUGUGGAAAUACCGGAAAGACAAGUCCCUGUACCACCCAGUCAGUGGCAGCUGCAUGGACUGCAGUGAGAGCGACCGCAGGAUCUUCAUGAAUGCCUGCAACCCUGCCUCUCUCACCCAGCAGUGGCUGUUUGAACACACCAACACAACAGUCUUGGAAAAGUUCAAUCAGAACUGAACCCUGGCAUCCCCUUGAUAAGCCUGGCCGGGGCCUGCUCUCCCUGCAGCCUUCUUCUCUGAGGGUGGCGAGGGGAUCUGGGCUCGGAGCUGUCACGGGGGCUGGCCACACGGGUCAAGGUGAAGAAUGCUCUUGCAGCCACGCUGCCCUGGCCCUUCAGGACCUGUGUCUUGGGGCUGAGGUGGGAAACAGAUGUGCGAGAGGCCCCAGGUGACAGCCGAGCCUGCCUUCAGCCCUCUGGUGUCAUAGGAAGCCAGCAGCAUCUGUUCACUUUGUCACCCUGUCCCCUUGAGCAUCCCAUAGAAGAGACGCUGGCACUGUCCCAAGCCACUCCGAAAUGAGUCCCGUGCAGUUGCCCGGUUGGCUGCCCUAGCUGAAGGUCCUUUAGAAAGACGGGCACAAUUUGCCUGCUUGGGGUAACUCUGAAUAGCACCCAUGCAAAAGUGGGCCUGCUCCAGCCUCUGCUUUCGACAGGGCUGGCACCGCCCACCUUCUGCAGUGCCGCAGCCCCAGAGGAUCUACCCGGAGGCCGCUCCUGGGCCCCCAGCAGUCGGUGGCCGGCACUGGCCCGCUGGGAGUCAUGAGAGGGUUCCCAGUCCUUUGCAGCCACACAGGAGACCUGUGAAGUGCUCCUUUCAGAUCUCCCAACAAGGCCAGCCCCUCCCCAGCUUCUCAGGGCCAGCCCUCAGGGGCCUGUGGGAAAGGCCCUGCAGUCUGGGCAUACAGGCUCAAUCCCAGCCCAUGCUUUCAUCUCCCUCUCUCUACUCCCGGCAGUUACUUGCCUUAAGAGAGGAACCAGGUGCUCACCUGACAAAAGUGUGGAGACCUCCAGGGUGGACUGUGGGCAAGGCGCCUCGCCUCCGACCUCAUUGUGGUUCUAGUUCUCAGUAGAACUCAUUCAAGAACUCUUGUCAUCCGACCCCUUGCUCUAGGAUGCUACCCACAGGGCUGGGAUUCUGGCACCCAGUGUGGAUCUCUAGAAUGGCAUGCUGAACGGCUCCCAGGCAGCCCAAGCCAAGAGAGAACCUGUGAAGCCCAGUCUUGCUGGGGCGGGGGGAUGCAGGGGUCGUUUGUCCCUCAUCUGUGCCAGGGGCUUGCUCCACCCAGGUCCUCAGAAGAGAGGGAAACCCUGGAACUACCCCGCCACCGUCCCAGCUGCAGUCUCAUUUGCUGUGAAGGAAGGCAAGACCCCAGUGUCCUGUGGCCAGGGGUGCCCCAGCUCCGUGCCAGUCCUCCAUGGUGACGUUUUGCUUGGAUAAUUGUGUGUCAAAUCCCGGAGGGCUCCUAGGCCAGCCAGAAGCAUCUCUGUAACCAGCUUCCAUCCUCGAGUUUGGAAAUGGAAGCUGCACCCCAAUGCCUACAGGCAGCAUCCACCAGCUAGCCCGAGAAGGGCUCGGAGUCAGUAUUCCUUAGGGUGGGUUGUGCCAUCUAUCAAUGAAGUUGCUCCCUCUGAGAGCAGAGCCACCAACCUGCUGUUGAGCUGCUGGCUGGUCUCCUGGCUAUUGGGUUUGGGGGGUGGGUAGGAGGGCAGGAGAUAAACACCCCCUCCAGCACCCCUGGGGAACCGUGGAGCUGGCUAAGGGGCACUGUCAUGCAGCCCCGGUAUUUGUGAAGCUGGCUUGUGGCCUUUCCAGUGGGACAACACACCUUGAGAAGUGGCACUCCGUACGAGCAACAGAUACCAUCAAGGAGAACGUGCCAAGGGGCCAUUUGGAGUGCCAAGUGAGGACCCAGCAUCGGAGAGCAAUGCAGCAUCUUUCCAAUAAAAACUGUGCCUUUUAAGAAGAAGAAAAAAUGCAAAUGUACAGUAAAUCCCGAAACUUGAACCAUUUCCUAGUGCCUUGCUAGACACACAACGGGGCAGGGUGGGCCAGAGGGCGACUGGUGCUGGACGCAGUUCCCGUUGGGUGAGUGUCUCAUUCCUUGUCGUCUCAUUUCAAGCAGGAGAUGUUGGGCCCAGAGCAGGGGUGAGACAGAGGGCAAAGUACCAAGGCAGCAGGGCCCUCACUGAGUCCUGGCCUGAACGGGCGGCCGGUAUGACCUCAGCGGACCCGGAUCUGGGCAUGCCUGCAGCCCCCUCCCAGCCCCACACUGCUCGUCCUGCCCGCACCAUCAGGGCGGGGCAGGAGCGCCAAACAGAUUAGAUUUCCAAAGGGCCCCAGUCCCAGUGGGCAGCAGCGAUCUUGGUGGCAUGGGACUUUGGGAAAGCUGGUGCACCAGGCAAGCAGGCCUCAGCCUGCCUCCUCUCCAGCCUUUGCAGGCUGGCCAGUAUGUCACCUGCGCAUUCUGGCAUUUGUCACUGCCAAGCCCGCGUGGCCACGUAGAACCAGGACUUGAUCUGGACACCGUGUAUGGUAGGGAGAAGUUCUUUGACUGAGUGGGUGGGAACAGGAAGCCACCUUUGUUUUCACCUCAUUUUUUUGAAACUCCUGGCUCGCACCCCCUGCUGAUGUUCAAGAGAGCGCAGGCCAGAACCUGUAUGCUGUGGUCAGCAUCACCCCCACACACACACACCCCCAUUCUUCUAAAGCUAGUGUUCUGGGGAUGAGGUCACAAAACAGGACAGGGCCAAGAAAGUAUCUGUGUUACCCAUGGCUUUCCACAGCAGUCUUCCAGAAACUUCUGAGAGCAACUCCCAUCUUUGAAGUAAGAGCAAGGCCGUGGCAGCAGCGGCAUUCACAAGCAUGCUUAUAAAGAGGCAUCUACCUCGUGCUCCGAGGGGCCUUUCCACUUUGAAAGUGGCCCGGGAAGUCUUGGUGCUUCCCUUCUAGGAGGAAGUAACGCAGAGGCUGGGAGGCACCUCACAGGGGAGAUGUGGCAGGAGACAGAGCGCGAGUUCCGGGGAAAGCCCAGUCUUUCCGGAAGAUGAAGCACCAGGUCCCAGUGUGCACACUGCGUCCACUCGAGUCACCCUGGUGUGAUUUCCCGCUGAAGAAACGGCCCCAGGGUUUUUCCCUAGGCGUCUCCAUUUUUGUAGUCUCUGGUGUCUCAAAAAAAGAAAGGAAAAAAGUGGCAAAGCGCCUUCCAGUAGUAAUCGAUCAUGGGGGUCUUUGCUUCAAGGAUACUUAGUGUGCUUUGAAUGUGGGGUGACCUUUUAUCAGUCCCAGGAGACCGCAGGUGUUUCUCGUGCUUUUUGAAGGUUUUCAAGUAGGAGGAAGGGAAGGGAGCGCAGUUCUGUUCUGGAACUCUUUCCCACUUUCAGCCAAGGCCCUUUAGGGUUUCUUUAAUUAAUCAAUUUAUUGGGAGCUCUUAUAGGUAUUGUAGGAAUCCAUAACUCAAUUAGAUCAAGCAUCAUUGUACAAUUGCUCCCCCCAUCCAUUUCAAAACAUUUUCUUUCUUCCUGAACUCUUUGAUGUCAGCUCCCCAUUAUCCCCUCCCCUCAACCAAUGCUCUUAGUGAAAACCCAAGUCCUGCUUGAGUUCAGACUUGAACUUGAGCCAAGACCGCUGCCACCUCUGGGUUAGGAGUCGGACCUACAUUUCAGGUGAUGAGGUCCCCCUCACCUAUGCUCCCAAAUGGCUUGAGUUCUCCUCCUUCCCACAACAGAAUCGGGCUUCCGCUCUGCUGUUGACUUGAAGGCACGGAACCCCAAAGGGGAACCGGCCUAGGACCCCUUGGAGAAAACUCCAAGCCGCCGCCACCUCCUGCCUGGAGGAGGGAUCCUGUGUGUAGGACGGACUAGCUGACCAUGUACAGUUGUGACUGUUGUUGAGUAAACCUCCAGACUUUCUCUAAA